AUGACAGACACAAACCAGCCGCCACACACAAUCCACGUUAGAAGGAAAGUACAAAAUCAAAUCAUCAAGAAAAUCAAGGAAAAUCAAACAAAAUCUUGUUACUGUGUGAAUUAUAAAAAAGAAGGAAAGCCAUACAUGGUAUAAUUACUAUACCAGAAUGUGAUUUCAUCAUAAUAAAAAAGAUUUUUGCUUAAAAGAAUAACUGAAAAUCAUCAAGAAAGUAUAAUAGAAGAGUUCAUCAGCCAUUAGUUGAAUGCUGAAAGCUGGCAAGAUUUUUCUCACUGCGUUAGCAGUCUGGUUAGUUCUGAAUCAGCAGCUACAAAUCAGCAGCUUCCUUUUUCUCGCAUGUUAGUCUAGCAUCAGCGGCUACGAAUGGCGUGCUACAUGUGCAAGGUUUCCUGCUUGCUGAUUGGUUAGUGACGGAGGAGGUGAUGGCAGGAGGGCAGCUGCAAGAAAAAACUUAACAGCCAAUCAGAUUCCUAGGCUUAGGGAAGAGGUAAGCUGAACAGCCAACCAGAGUCCUAGGCUUAGGGAAGAGGUAAACUUAACAGCCAAUCAGAUUCCUAGGCUUUGGGCAGAGGUAAACUUAACAGCCAAUCAGAUUCCUAGGCUUAGGGAAGAGGUAAACUUAACAGCCAAUCAGAUUCCUAGGCUUAGGGAAGAGGUAAACUUAACAGCCAAUCAGAGUCCUAGGCUUAGGGAAGAGGUAAGCUGAACAGCCAACCAGAGUCCUAGGCUUAGGGAAGAGGUAAACUUAACAGCCAAUCAGAUUCCUAGGCUUAGGGAAGAGGUAAGCUGAACAGCCAACCAGAGUCCUAGGCUUAGGGAAGAGGUAAACUUAACAGCCAAUCAGAUUGACAACCUUUAAUAAAGGAAACUCCACAUCCAAUCAGAUUUCUACCCUUAGGAAUACCAAACUCUUGUAUAUUAAGAUCAUAUUCAGUCACAUGACUAUGUGAUAAUGCCAUUGAAUGUGACUAAAUAUUUGCUUUGUUCUUCAAUGUUUAAGCAAAUAAAAUGCCAUAAGAUAAAAUAAGUUCAGUACAGCAUAGAGUGUGGCUCUAGUUUCUAUCUUACAUAAGCCAUAAGUAGUUACAAGGUUGUGCCCGAAAGGGAUGAAGUGUUUAAACAUUGCCAGCAGAAUCGGCCCAGCAUUGCUAAGCAUGGCUCUUAAACCACAGGUAGGUUAUGUCGAUAGCAGAUGUUUGCAGGUGGCACCAGGUGUUCACAGGUGGCACCAGGUGUUCACAGGUGGCACCAGGUGUUCACAGGUGGCACCAGGUG